rnacentral:misc_RNA from 1 species
CCAUGGAAUACUGAAUGGAAUUGACCCGGAUAUAUGGGAUCCUUAUAAUGAUAAGUUCAUUCAUGUAAGUGGAUUACAAUGUUAUAUUUGAAAUUUUUUUGGCAAGUGGUUCUUGAAUUUAAGGCCUUCAGUUAUAGGUCUUCCAUGCUCUGUAUUUGUGAACUAGCAUUUACAAUUUUCGCAGUGCUUACCUUGUGAGUAAAAAUGAAGAUGUAAAGGAAGAACCAUUAAAGUAAAAUUAUAUUUCACUCUAGAAGUUAUGAACGAAAGCUAUUCAAAUUUCCCAGAGUAUUAGUUGUUUUGAAUUAGGCCAAUAUCCUAUUUGGAAGAGCAAACUUGUUCAUGGUGCUAACUGGUUAUAGAUCUUUGCCCGAGUGAUCACUAUUUCUGAUUUCUAAGAACAAUGUGGUACCUUGAUCUAGACCUUUUACUCAGCACUUACAUCUUGAAAGGAUUAAAUUGAUGUAUACUAACAUCUGAAUAAUGCAGCUGGUGGACUCUUUGUCAUCCCAUCCUACUCCUUUGUGCAUUUGUUUUGUCACUGUUUUUGCACAUAUGCAUCAGAGAUAAUAUUGUGAUGGCUAAGGGUUGAAUAUGCAAGUUGUAUUGCUUGGUUCAGCUCCAGAUCCUCGCAUCCAAAAUGAUUUUGUGAAUUUGGCCAACCAGUUGCAUUCUUCACAUAAUGAUCGUGCUCGCCUUUGUUUGACUUAUGAUGAGCCACUAUCACACUUGGCAUAUUCUCUUUGAUAUUUAAAUAUUCAAGCUUGGAUGGACAUCUAUAUCUCAUUCUCACAUCUACAAUUUUUCCCUGACUGUUUCCUUCUCUCCCUCUCUCUUGUUUGUCUUUGUUUAGAUAUAUGCAGGUGCUGAUUUCAUUCUAGUCCCAUCAAUUUUUGAGCCUUGCGGACUGACCCAACUUACAGCUAUGAGAUACGGUUCGAUACCAGUUGUUCGAAAAACUGGAGGACUUUAUGACACUG